AUGCUUAGCUCUUCUUAAACAUGAUUUGAUUGCUUCAAACGCAAGUAUUAAUGAACUUGUAAACUUAGGUUUUGAAUGGAUGUUGUGGUUAGUGUGGACUAAUCCCUCAGCGGUCUAGUCUAUACUGUUUUUGGGGCGGACAAUAAACCGCUGCGGAGUUAGUUUAAAGACGGUCCACAAUUAGCCCGCAACGGUUUUAUUUUAUUUUUUUGGGUCUGCACUGUAGACGGUUUUGUUCGCUUGGACCGCUGUAAUCAUUCGAAACCUUAGAAUUUAGACAUGUAGGCUAAAUUUUGAUUGCUUCAAACGCAAGUAUUAAUGAUGUAGUUAAUGUUAAUCUGAUACAUCGAUCAAAAUUCAAACCCUAUAUUUGACUACUACGUACAUCUAAUUUGUAUUUUAAGGAUAUCAACUUUUGGGGCUCAACGUACAUCACUUAUUUUGCUAUUCCUCAUCUUCGAAAAAGCAAAGGAAAAAUUGUUGUGAUUUCUUCUGCUACGGCAAUUAUACCUUUGCAAGCGGCAAGCGUCUAUUCAGUAAGAUAAACAAAAUCCGUAAGCAUCAUUAUUGGUGGUAUCUUAGCCAAAUUCUUAAGCUAAGAUUUGUAAAAAAAGGGCUCUUAUAUAAGAGCUUUUAGGCUUAUA
rnacentral:sRNA from 1 species